rnacentral:misc_RNA from 1 species
CCUGUCCGAGCGUCAUUUCAACCCUCAGGACCUUUCCUGGUGUUGGGGCGUCACGGCUGCCGUGAGCCUCAAAGUCAGUGGCGGGCUCUGUCACACACCGAGCGUAGUAAAUCUCUCGCUUAGGGGUGUUUCAGGGCGCGGCCUGCUUAUACUUUUAUCAAGUUGACCUCGGAUCAGGUAGGAAUACCCGCUGAACUUAA